GGUGCUUCGUAAAGUAAUAGGUGAGAUGCAUAAAUAAGCAACUCGACUCACUGGCGACAUAUUUUGGGUUCAGUAUAUUGAACGAUGUCAGAUUCUUCAUCAAGCAAUGGAUGCCGAUUAUCUUGUUGUUAUCAUACCAGGAAGUGUGAUUUAUGAUUUGAUAAGCAUGUUAAUUAGCUGUGGUUUUAAACUGCACAUUUUCAUUGUUUAUGUUAGUUUCAAUUGGAUGCAUUUGCAUGGUAUUG
rnacentral:lncRNA from 1 species